GUGAAUGUCCAUAGCGAGGCAAUGAGCAACAAAUGGGCUGUUUAAUGAAGCCCUCUAACACUGUCUUUCCUUUGCUCUUCAAUAGGUACACGAAGGUCUGAAGGACCAAGUUGAGGAUCUACGAAAGCAGACAAGGAGACAAAGGUGGUGGUCUGGUGAGCUGUGCUGCUGGGACUACUGGGACUCCGUGUGACUGACUGCUCAGCGCAAUGUGACAGCAGCGGAGGUGUGGCUAGGACCAGGCUUGCCUGAUGCAGAGGUCUGAGUGCUUUUCAGCAUCACUGGACAAAAAGAGGUUCUUUACUGCGUCUGAUGACAGACAAAAAGGGCACGCUUUGCACGGCAGAGAAGAUCUUCCAUUCGCAGACCCCAUCGGACUUGGAGAUCUUAUAGAAGGUUUCGCCCGAGCCGACGGGGAUACGGACCACACCUUUGCCACUUUCCAUGCUUUGGCUGGCGGGAUG